CGUUCUUCAUGUUAGACAAAUUUUAAAAUCAACUUUCUAAUUACCUCUGUCAAUUUUAUUUCUCCUCGAAAAAGAUUAACGUUUUCACAAUGACAUCAAGGUGUUGUCAAAUAAAAAAUAGCAGUUUUGGAAAACCCCAGGCUAAAAAUAGUGGCAUUGAUGCAUUGUGAUACCCUCUACAUUUCU